UUGUUUGGUUAGGUGUUAAGGGAUGGAAUAACCCCUUAACCCCCAUAUUAUUUCCAAACACCUCUAAAAAUGGGUUGGGUUAGCUAACCCCAUCUAACCCGAGAUAGUCUCAACCAAAUACUAUUUUCUAUUCAUAAUAACUCACUAUUCUUCUUAUCCCACCUAUUCCAACCCACUAUCCUUUUUAUCCCACCUACUCCAACCAAACAUUAUUUUUCACUAUUCUGGACUAACUCCAACCCCCAACCAAACACAAAAAUACUUUAACCUCACCUUAACUCUGAACUUAACCAUAUCCCUGGAAUAACUAGUUUUUCCUUAACCCCGAACCAAACGGUAGCUAAAAGAUUAUGUACCCAUAUUAUCUAUACACCCAAAGAGUAAAUAUAAAUAUCAUACCUCUUUACUUAAUGACCA
rnacentral:lncRNA from 1 species